rnacentral:misc_RNA from 1 species
CGAAUCCUGCGUAUGAAAAAAUCUUAGCACAGCUGAACCGGACCCGAGACAAAAGUGCGAAAUCCCGAGUAUCGUCGUUAAUGCACGUCUAUGUGCACACACUGCAUGGAAUAGCUUUAACUCUCUCACAAUGUCGCAGUUACGGUGGAACUGACACUUUUUUUCAAGUUCUGCAGCGCGCUCUAUAAUUCUGCAUCACGAGCUAGAGGAACUAGACUAUCGCGAUGAAUAUUUAAGCAUCAAAAGUACCAAUUCGGCAUACUAGUUUAAUUAUCCGAUGGAACGUCACUUCUUAUAGAAUGCACGCACAAAGACACAAAAUAUUCCGUACAUAUAACCACCUUUCGGACGAAAUCCCGAUAAGGUGUAACCCGAUGUCAGCUCUCGGAAUCGCAUAUCAGCACCAGUACACGUUCCCCGAAAGUCUUGAUGCACUUCGAGGUCUCACUGUACGAGACAUCGGGUCGAGCGCUGCUUUUCGGUUCACAAUAAUUCGUCGUGGUGGUUCAUCAUUCAUUUCUGAAUAUACAUACACAUAAGUAAAGAUGACAAACAUGUAUGAGCACGCAACUAUUUUCCUACGCAUCACAAAUGAACAAGCCGCGACCGUUAGAAGAAAAUUAAAUCCCUGCGUGAUAUGUCGUGAAAAUAAUCUCCUCAAUAUAGUGGAAAAUCGAUCAUUUCUCUUCGCAAGACAUUCCUUUAUAAUUACAAUCGCACUACCUAUGAAGAAAGAAGCAAAAUGGCAACCCUGAAGGGCGCACAAUGUACAAUGGCUGCCAUUAAUGGCAGCUAGGCUAAACAAUUUCACGUGGUUCUCCGCCAAUAUUUUUUCUGCCAUAUGUUACUCACCUUUUAUCACAUCCGCAUACUUACAAUUUAAACCUGAUAUAUCUUGCUCUUUCUUGUAAGGGUAUAACUUACGUUAAUGGAACGAUACAUUUGAUUAUUUUCGAUCGAACAACGAAUUUUAUUGUUUUCUCGAGUUAAUCUCUGUGUGGGACACAAUGCAAUAUACAUGUUUUUCGAACAAUCAAUAAUUUCGAAUCCUAAAAUAUAUAUUUCAAGAUUCUAAAAAUAAAUAUACGUUGCACAAAAUGUAAUAUAAUUUUGUUCAUUUCCUCAACAGUACACUUCUAUAUAUUGAUAACUAUCAUUAUCUAAAUAACAAAAUAAAUACCAAAAAUCAAAUAUGCAGUUAUUGCGUGAAAAUCGUCUUUAAAACAGGAGUUGUGGAGUAAAUGCAAAUAGAAAAUCUGGUAUAUGUAUUUUAAUUAUUCCUCUAGUAAUUAUUGAAGUUUCCACCGAAACUUGAUAAUCCAAAAUUAAUUGCCGAUUACUUGAUCCAAGUUUUGGGUGUUCUGAUGAUUUAGAUAUCCGAUAUUAGUAUAUUCUGAAGGACGAGAGAAACACACCUUCGUCUAUGGAGGUCCGCCAUUUACGACUCGUGUGAUUCUAGCUUCUAUAUCCACUUAGUAAGUUCGAGAACUCUCGGUGACAAGAAACGAGUUUAGCCGGAAAUAGCCGAAGUUUCUAUC